UACAGGGUGAGUAAAAAACUGAUACCUUUGUUAUUCAAAUUAGCCGCGAAGGUAUCAGUUUUUUUUUACUCACCCUGUA